UGAAAUCAUUUUAAAACCCAAGUAAAGAUAUUUGAAAUGGCCAUGGACUUCCCUCAACAUAUUCCACAGUUAAACAACGUUUCCAUUUUUUCAAAGCAGGUGGUGGAAGGUGGGAACAACAAGACAAGAGAAAUUAACGCAGGACAAUAUGAUACACCGUUGUAAUUUUUUUUUUCUUUUUUUUUGGGGGGGGGGGGUACAAAUACUAAGCUUAAAUCUAGAGAUGAAAAGGAAGAAAGAACAAUAUAAUGCACGAAAAAAUGCUAAGAAUUAAAUGACUCAGUUAACUUCUGC
rnacentral:lncRNA from 1 species